rnacentral:rRNA from 1 species
GAUGAACGCUGGCGGCGUGCCUAAUACAUGCAAGUCAAGCGAACAGAUAAGGAGCUUGCUCCUUUGACGUUAGCGGCGGACGGGUGAGUAACACGUGGGUAACCUACCUAUAAGACUGGGGUAACUUCGGGAAACCGGAGCUAAUACCGGAUAAUAUUUCGAACCGCAUGGUUCGAUAGUGAAAGAUGGUUUUGCUAUCACUUAUAGAUGGACCCGCGCCGUAUUAGCUAGUUGGUAAGGUAACGGCUUACCAAGGCGACGAUACGUAGCCGACCUGAGAGGGUGAUCGGCCACACUGGAACUGAGACACGGUCCAGACUCCUACGGGAGGCAGCAGUAGGGAAUCUUCCGCAAUGGGCGAAAGCCUGACGGAGCAACGCCGCGUGAGUGAUGAAGGUCUUCGGAUCGUAAAACUCUGUUAUUAGGGAAGAACAUACGUGUAAGUAACUGUGCACGUCUUGACGGUACCUAAUCAGAAAGCCACGGCUAACUACGUG